rnacentral:rRNA from 1 species
UACGGGGGGAGCAAGCGUUGUUCGGAUUUACUGGGCGUAAAGGGCGCGUAGGCGGCCAGCACAAGUCAGUUGUGAAAUCUCCGAGCUUAACUCGGAAAGGUCACUGAUACUGUGCGGCUAGAGUGCGGAAGGGGCAACUGGAAUUCUUGGUGUAGCGGUGAAAUGCGUAGAUAUCAAGAGGAACACCUGCGGCGAAGGCGGGUUGCUGGGCCGACACUGACGCUGAGGCGCGAAAGCCAGGGGAGCGAACGGG